AUGAUGUUCAACAAAUCGUUAUUCAUGAGGACUACAUCCAGGAUGACCAUCAUGAUGAUACUGCACUUAUACUGCUCACUAGAAAAGUUUUAUUUAAGAAUGAUGUACAUUGAGUUUGUCUUCCUGAAGCCACACAGAUUUUUCCACCUGGUGAAGGAGUUGUUGUUACAGGAUGGGGAGACUUUAAUGGGCGACUCUGGAGGACCACUAGUUCAUCCUAAUUCUCAAAAUAUUUGGUACCUUGUUGGAGUAGUGAGCUGGUGAAGGAAUGAAUGUGGUGCAAUCAAUAGUCCAGGGGUCUUACACUCAAGUGACCACCUACCGCAACUGGAUUGCCUCUAAGACCGGUACCUAAGAGAAAAGAUUCUCCUAGCAACUAUUGUAGGUCAUUUUUGCCUGUUACUCCUAAGCCUUAAUUAAUGUGCAUUUUAAAUUAGUGUGUACAAUGGCUGUUUUGAAAGAACUACCAUCCUGAAGGAAUAUUUAUGAACUUCUAAGCUAACUCAACAAGACAAAACAAAACAUUUCAGGUUUGGUCCAGAAAGGCCUAAGCAAAGAAAGUGUUCACAUCAAAAACAGACUAUUAUAAUACAAAUUAUUUUUCUAUUUCAUUAACUCACAUCAUGGCUAUCUCAACACAGCAUAAACUCUUGGUUUUUGUCACUCAGACUUUCUAGAAUUGUGAAAGUAUGUCCUUGUCCAUGGCAAAUUAGUCACUGUGAGUGACUGGAAUCAAUACUUUAUGUGGGUUGGGUUGGAACAUGCUAUAUAUGCCUUCAUGUCACAGCUUUUGUAGGAGGGGUGUGGUUGUGACCUAAAUCUAGUCUGAAUGUAGGCCCUGAGUCACAUUCUUUUACUUGUAUGGGGUUUUGAUCAAUUCCUGCAAUCAUUAUGAAAGAAUUUCACCAUCAGCAAAACUAGACAAAACAGCACAUUUUAGACGUACAGAGACCAGGCAGAGUAGUAGUUCUUUACCACUGUUAAAAGUUUCUGUGGAAAUUCCUUAUUUGUAGCAUAUUCUGAAAAAGUCACCAUUCACCCUGAAAAUGUGUAAUGUGUUUUAAUUAAAACAAAUUUAAAAGCAAACUGUUCAAUGACAGUUUUCUUUUUGGUUUUUGUUUGCUUUCUUGAGACUGUGGGUGGGUUUACUCUCUCAGUCUUUUUUUUCCUGUAAAAAGAAGGUUUGCUUCUACUUGGACCAUGGCUUGUGGGAGGGUGAGAGGUGGUUAAAAAGUAUAUUGAGAGCUGGGGCCAUGACUCAUGCCUGUAAUUCCAGAACUUUGGGUGGAUCACUUGAGGUCAGGAGUUUGAGACCAGCCUGGCCAACAUGAUGAAACCCCGUUUCUGCUAAAAAUACAAAAAUUAGCUGGUGGUGGUGGCUCACACCUGUAAUCCCAGCUUCUCGGGAAGCUGAGGCAGGAGAAUCACUUGAACCCGGGAGGCGGAGGUUGCCGUGAGCCGAGAUCUCCGUUGCACUUCAGCUUGGGCAACACGGCAAGACUCUGUUUAAAAAUAAAUAAAUAAAUACAAAGUACCUUGAGGCCGAA
rnacentral:lncRNA from 13 species